GGCGGCUGCGAAUCUCCAAGAUCUCCUACAAAAUGUGAUUCAACCACCAAAGGCCGAUAGCCAAUGCUGUUCUCGGAGUGUCUGCACCUGGUUCUCCAUGUCCACCCUCCUCAGGAUCUCUGAGGUCAGCUGGUUCCUGGUGUCCGAUAGAACGCCCUCUACCUGGACACACAGAACCUCGUCAAAAAAUAUAGAACACCACGCUCCACACUGCAUCUACACCACGACUGGCUCGGUCGGUGAAGUCUUCCUGCAGUGUUCUGUUUUCAGACGUCAGCUUGCUGCAUUCAACAUCCUUGGAGCUAAGAGACGCCUCGACUUUCCUCCACUGAGCCAACGCGUUCGCCAGGUCGCUCUCCUUCUUCUGGAACCUGCAGAGUAAAAGGAGAUUCCCGUAGUCGAUCUGCAGGCGGGCCUUCUCCCCGGCCAGGCCAUCCAGGCACUUUCUCACGUCGGCCAACUCCUCCUCGUACAACCGCCGCACGUUGCUCAUCUCCCGGCUUUUCGAUUCAUCCUUCUCCUCCAGCAGCACCAGCAUGGAGGCCCGCUCGCUCUCCAGCUCCUGGACCCGCUGGAUGUAGUUGGCGAGGCGGUCGUUGAGCUGCCG